rnacentral:rRNA from 1 species
GACGAACGCUGGCGGCGUGCUUAACACAUGCAAGUCGAACGGAAAGGCCCUGCUUGCCGGGUACUCGAGUGGCGAACGGGUGAGUAACACGUGGGUGAUCUGCCCUGCACUUCGGGAUAAGCCUGGGAAACUGGGUCUAAUACCGGAUAGGAGCCAUUUUUAGUGUGAUGGUUGGAAAGUUUUUUCGGUGUAGGAUGAGCUCGCGGCCUAUCAGCUUGUUGGUGGGGUAAUGGCCUACCAAGGCGGCGACGGGUAGCCGGCCUGGGAGGGUGGAAGGCCACAAUGGGGCUGGGGUACGGCCCAGGCUCCUACGGGAGGCAGCAGGGGGGAAGAUUGCAAAAUGGGGGGAAGCCUGAUGCAACGACGCCGCGUGGGGGAAGACGGCCUUCGGGUUGUAAACUCCUUUCGCUAGGGACGAAGCUUUUUGUGACGGUACCUAGAUAAGAAGCACCGGCUAACUACGUG